GAUGAAGAACGUAGCGAAAUGCGAUAAGUAAUGUGAAUUGCAGAAUUCAGUGAAUCAUCGAAUCUUUGAACGCACCUUGCACCCUUUGGCAUUCCGAAGGGUAUGCUCGUUUGAGUGUCAUUGUACUCUCACACUUCCAAUCUUUGGAUUGGGAGCAGUGGACUUGGGUGUUGCUGCUUACUGUGGCUCACCUCAAAUCGAUUCGUGCACCUCUUGGUUGGACAUAGUACGGCGUGAUAAGUGUCUUCGCCGGCACCUCAGUAGAGGGUGGCUGAUCAGGAGCUCUGUGCUUCAAACCGUCCUCGGACAACAACUGACAACUUGACCUCAGAUCGAGUAGGACUACCCGCUGAACUUAAGCAUAUCAAUAAGCGGAGGA
rnacentral:misc_RNA from 1 species